CUGCAGAGGGUCCGAGCUCCAGCCGCUCUGCUCGGGGAGCUGCCGCUCGCCGCUGCCCACAGACGUACGGGGGAGGUUGUUCACAUUUUAAUCUGUCUGAUGAAGAAUCUGUGACUUAUCUGUCUGAUGAAGUUAAUCUGGAGGAAGGCCUGGACAGGCAGUGAUGAGAUGUUUGGAUUCAGUUUCAACACAAACCAUCAAAUGACAUCUCUUAUGCCAGUAAAAGGAAACCAACCUGAGGAGCCUUCUGGUAAACACUUCCUUCCUUUGGAGAAUUUAUAGAAGGGAAACAAAAUAAACCUAGCCUUUUAUUUAAAAAUAACUUGUGGUUCUCUCACAGACACAACUAAAAACAGCCUUGACCAGGUAGGAAACACCUGAUUUUUAAUAUCCUCUCUAAUUUUAAAUCCAUCAUUUAGGUAUGUGGCUAGCAGAGUAUAAAAUCCACUUUAAGCUCUAUGAUAAACAUUCAGAAGGAUUUAUAUAAUUAGAUAUUACAAAACUAAGAUAACAUGAUGGUGCAAAAAUCUUACAGCUAUCAAAGACAGCUAGUAAGUUGCCCUUUGCUCUGCCAUUUAAACACAAACUGUUUGAGCUGGUGUCAUUCCACACUGAUUUAAGGAAACUGGGAGAGAGGGAUAGCUGCACAGUACACUUUACCCAGACAGUCUGGGAUGGGAUUUUUCAAAACAUUCAUGGAUAUUUGAUCCUCAGUUGCUUUUGACCAGAAGCUUUCCUUUUUCUUGGACUGCAAAGCAGUAUUGGGCACUUAAUAUGUAAGUCCCCUUCUACUCCAGCUUUCAGGAUUUUAUCUAAAUGAAAAAAAUAAAGUUCAAUUGGGAUGGAAAAGAAAAACUCUUUAGCAGGUAACAUUAAUAGGUAAUCCUUAAGACAGAAGGCAAAAACUAGAUAUGCAAAACUUAUUCUGCCCUCAAAAUGAAUGGUGCUACACCUACUUUAAAUGCCAUGACAGCUCUCAUUUGGAUCAGCACUACCCAUAAAUCAGCUUUCUUAUAAAUAACUACAAAGCUGGAAAAAAUUGCCAUCCUGUGCAGCAAGAGGGAGUGUUUGCAUUUACAGAGAUAUGUGUUUUGCCCUGACUAGUAGCAUAAACAUUUUUGCUGGCUGAAAAUUUUCAUGCUUGGUUUGUGUUCCAGAAAAAGAGAUGGAGAUGGAAAGAAGAAACUUAAAGUAACGUAAAUUCCGGGAAAAUAUUUUACAUCUAUACAUAGGCAGGUUUCAGUAAAUAUAAUUAUAUGAAAGAUGACAAAGCACAUAAUAUGAAAAACAGAAUUAAAACAACAAACAGAACCAUGAAAGAGGUAAAAUUUAUAUUCUUUGCUUAUAAUUUUCAAAUAUGAGUUGGUUACCAAAAUGCAUAUGCCCUGUGAGUGGGCAAGUAAAGUUCCUAUUGAACAACCUUUAGGACUUUGAGUGAUACUGCAAACACAUUAAAUUUUUUUCUUGCAACCAAGAAAUAAAUGCCCAUAAUCAGUAUUAGUAAUUAAACUGGUUUAUUUUUAAGUGGCAUGUGUAUGCCAAUUAAUGAUAAUAAUUAUUGUGUUGGUUUUUCCUUCAGUGCUGCCAUCAGUAUCCCUUUGGCUGUUUAGCUUUUAUAAAGACUUCAGAAUGUUUCCUUGCAGUACAGGCUAUUUCCUUUGGACAGAUGGCUACUUACUGUGCUGGCUCUUAACCUGCAGUACCAGGAGCAGCCAAACUGGAGGCUGUGGUUUGUGAAUCAUACCUCUAUCUUUGCCUCCAGCAUCACUUGAAUAAGAACAUGGAAAAUCUGUUUCCCUAAGAACUAGAGGUUCCUGUGGAAUCUAAUGUAGUGUGUUGCCUUGAUUUUCAUGUCAACGAAAUAUUCUUCCCUCUAGAAAUGCAUUUGUGUUCUGUGCAUGUUUUGUGGGAAGAUUAGGAAUACUUUUCAGCUUCUCCUCCUGGAAGGUAUUUAUGAAGACAUUUCUCAAAACCAGUUGGAUUUGAACACGUGAGGGAGAAGGAAUGUCAUUAUGCCUUCUCAGGCCUCUGCUUCUGGUCUCUUUGAGCUGGAAUUUCUAUUCAGUUGUAAACAAUGCAAGUAUCGUCUUUCCUCCUCCUUUCCGCCUGCCCUCCAUCCCAGCCAGGCAGGAAAUCGGGUUUGCUCGUCCUCUAGGGACGCUGUAUGGCUUUGCAUGGCUUACAUGGGGCAUCUUGCUUAGAUAACCAGCCAAGUCUCUGGAAAUAAAUCCUGUGCUCACAGCACCUUUGUCAUCGAUCAGUGGGGCACGUUCGGUGCCAGCAGCUGGCUGCAGGAAGUACUUUGGCCUAUGAUCCUGUGUGGAUAGGUAAUAUUUGAGUUAGCUGAGAACAAAUAAAGCUGAUGGUUGGAAGUCACAAAAACAAAACUUGUUUUUGCUAACCAGCUAGCACGUGCAGGGAUUUGGCAGUGUGAUUGCCAGCUGCCACAGCUCACAACUGAGGUCACCUUCUCUUUGUAUAUAAACAUUAGUCAUUUACUAAAGAAUGCAAAAAACAGGUGUUAGUGUUCAUUGGUAAUCUGUUCUUUCAAAGGGAUGCUGUAAGAUAGCACCUGACAUAGAACAAUUCUUUCUAUGCCUGUUGUUAUUAACAUAAACACACUUGUACUGUUACUUAGGCAGUGCCAUUGGUAUGCAUAGUACAGAAAAGAUAAACAAAAUGACAGAUGCUUAAGCCAGAUGAAAUUACAAUUAAACUAAUGACAGACAAAAAUAAAGGAAGUGUGGCAGGAAAUGUGAAAGAACAUAGAAAUCAUUGCAAGCUAUGCCUUUUUUUUUAAUGGUGUUGUUUUUAAAGAGGCAGUUCUGCAUUUUAUGGCCAGUAUAAGAAUUGAAGAUUGAAGCUGAAAACUAUUAUCUUUAUAGAUUUUGAAAUGCAGGAGUGCUUUUCCUACAUGAUGAAAGAAGAUAUUGAAGACUAAGAAAUUUGCAUGAAAAAAACCACAGUGAUUUGUGGAAAAGCAGAAUUAAGCUGUCAUCUGAAGUUGUGCCCUCUGGAACAAUUUUAAAUUUAACUUUCCUAUCAGCUUUUAAACUUAACCUUCCUAUAAGCUGUAAAACGUAGCAGGGCUUCUGAUGCUAAGGCCCUGUCUACUCUCAAAUCUACACAUUUAGGUUGACAGGACAGGAACAGGAGCAGAUACCCACUUCAAACUUAGGGGUUGGAGAAGUCCAAAAUGAAAUUAAGAAAGCAUUUAAAUAAUAUACAUCUAAAUAUGAAUGUAUUAAUAAAAGGUAUCCAUUCUUCUACAGUAGACUUUACAUUUCUCUAAAAUCACAGUAAUUUUUACAUUUUGCUGCUUUGAAAGAUCAAAGACUUACUAGAGAAAAGUCAGGCCUCCCUGCUUUCCAUUCAGGGACCCGCUGAGAAUGAGAUUCACCGUCCGGCGCUGAGCCCCAUCUUGCAGCUCUCGCAUCCCCAGUGGCGCUGCCCAGCUUUUGGUUCUCCACCUCAGCAGUGGGACACAAGGUAGAGGGAAGGGGAAGGAAUGUGUCAGCAGGGAGUGUUGCCUUUCUGCACAGUGGGGUAAGAGGUUCUAGCCACAGGGUGCUUAUUUCAGUAUAGCAUCACUGCAGCUGGAGCUUUGGUUAGGAUUUAACAGCUGUGACAAGGAGUGGUUGGGUCAAGUUGCAUCUUCACAUGAUGUGAAACAUGGAUGGUCCACGUAUGUUGACUAUACUCUAAAAAAGGACUGUCCUGUUUCAUAUUAAUUUCAAUGGGAUUAUAUGAUUUAUGGCACCAGUGAAAAAUACAGUAUAGCUCUAAACUGAAGACACUGGACUUUUAUUCUCCCAUGUAAAAAGGGGAUGCUAAAAAUGAGAAUGAAGAAACUGUGAUCACUAAUUAUUCCAAUUAUGUUCUAGUGUUUAAGAACGGUAGGAGCCUGUUCUGCUGAAGAAGGACCUUGAAAAGCCAAGACAGACAUGUAUAAAGUGUAAUACAGUAUUGCACACUGUCAGUCUAACUGCAGUCUCACUUUGUGCAGGUAUUAUCAAAUUGUUUUUCAAAGAUUAGUGGGGUAGCUUUGAAGUUGUUACUGAAGCACUCCUCCACUUCCAGACAAGUUACACUGGGAUGAUACACAUUCAGAAAAAACAGUGAUGCCAAUGCAAAGUAAUCUCAGUUUUCCUUCAGGUAUGAUGUUCACAACUACAUUUUUUAAAUGUAGGAGACAGACAACUACCAAAGAAUUGCAAUGUUUUAAAAAGUUAAGUUCUUCCAAAAGAGUGUGAAACAGUGGGGGUGAGCAGAGAAGCAGCACCCUAGCAGAGCUAAAGCAUUUUUCUCCACUUAUGACAGCAUCAUUUUCUUUUUGUCGCAAAUUGUCAUAGCCUUCCAGCCAAAAUUAUUGGAAUUUUUUCCAUUGUACAUGAAGUAUUUUUACACAAUAAUUCCAUCUAUUCUUAGCAAGAUGCUCUUUAGUGUGAAUUCUGUCUAUUGUUAGAAAGUGUUAUUGAGAAAAUAUGAUUCUAAUCUUGUGACUUUUUGCCUUGAUAUCAAGAGAGUCACUGCCAAAUAUGCAGUCAUGUCUUUUGUUAAUAAAAACAAGUUACAGAAUCUAUUAAUAGAGUGGUAAUAAAUAAUGAUGUUGCUAGGGGAGAGGAUUAUAUCUCAUUUUACUUCUAGUAAAAUGGUACUCCCAAAGGGCCAUGAUAUUAGGAAAAUUAGCUGCUGUUAACCUAGUUCUCUACAGACUGUCUCAUAGGAAAAAAAAAACAAAACCCAACAUGUUGGAAUAACCACUGCGGAAAGGAAAAUGCCAUUUAUAAGUUUUUCCAGCCAAAAGAAAAACAUUGUUUUAUUUCAGUCCUAAAGCAUACCACUGACCUCUGCUUCAAGGGACAUCUUUUGCACAUUGCAGUCAUCUAACUUUGUGAUAAUGUUGACAAACACAACGAAGAAAGAAACAGAAACUCACAAUGGAAAAGAGAACAACAGCUGAAGUAGUCAUUGCUCGUUUUCUAGAUUUUCCUUUAAUAGGACAUCCUAAACACGCUGACCAAAACUUCUGCAGAGCUAGUGGUUACAGAAAGGGCAUACUAAUGUGUGUCAGGUGGAUGGCAACAGGAGGAUCCAAUGGACUACCAAAGCUUUCAUGUACACAAUUAUAAUGUUCUGAAUAGCAUUGUCGAUUAAUACUUUUUUGAUUUAAUUUUUCCUUUUUUUCCCCCCCUCUGUGUGACCUCUCCAUUGUCUUAUCAGGUCUGACGAUAAAAUUAAAACAGAAUAAUCUAUAAUCUUCAAUUCAGGCAUAGAUUGAAAUGAUGUCUCACCAGAAUUAAAGCGUAUCAUACAUACUAUUCCAUUUUGAGCUUUUUAUGAUUUGAUUUGGUUUGGUUUUUGUGUUGAUUUAAUUCCAGGAAACAUUUAAUGGCCUACAGAUUUGUUUUCUCCCAGUUGUGUCAGUUGUUGGCAAAAAUGGUUUCUGAGACCUACAAGCCAAGGAAUCAUUUAGUAGGCAUCUUUAGGACAGGCAGGCCUGGAAGCUGGGCAUGGCAGCCUCCUUUCCAUCCAUUGGAUAUCUUCAGGAAGCUGGCAACUGUUAGAAGGAAAAAUAAGCAGUCCUUCAACUUUACCCCAUGGAAAUUUCCCUCUGGCAAUGUCAGUGUCAGCAUUUGUGAAGGAAACACAUGCAACCCUUAGACACGCAGUCUGUUGUCAGUGGCAUUGCUCAGUGCUGGUCAUACAGGAAGGUCUCUUCCCUGCAUACUCUGUGUCAUUUUAAACCUUUCAACUUUGAUUUUCACAGGACUUUGCAUUUUUCUCUUCUGUGUCCCAAAACCUGGAAGUGUUUAGUGCAUGAGGCAAGACACUGUGCUCAGAGAAAGUCUGGUGAUUAAAUCAGCUGCUUCCUGUCCUGAAGAACUGGAUUGCAGCCCUGUCUUUGCCACAGAAUUCUUCGUUCUUUGUGAUGAUGGACACAUCUAUGACAGACACAUGACAACAGUCAUUUAUAACAGAGAAAACUAAAGGGUAGUAUCUUCAUUAUCUGCUUAGGCAAUUCAUGGUGUGUAACUCAGUUAUAAAAUCCAGAGCUUCCAAGGCAAGAAUAGAGUUCAUAGAGAGGAAAAUACAUUGACUUUGCUAGAGGAGCAUGGAAAAUAAGUUCUUUCUAUUUGGAGUCAGACCAAAUCACCAAAUCUGCAGAGUAAUAUUUGCAUGACACAAGGAGUAACAGCACAGAUCUCUCCAGCAUCAAACUGUUCAGAGGGUGCUGACUUUGACAUAAGGAUUUUUCUGUGCUAAUGAAGCAUUGAAUAAAAGAAUAGAUUUUUAACGUUGUGUCAGAUUGCUGUGUUUAGUGACAAAAGCCCAUUGCUGGACACUGGUCUUAAUUCAAUAUUGUGAGCUCAGCAGAUGCUUUUCUUAGGCUAUAUUAUUCCUAUACCAAGCAUAGAAAUAUGGUUUUUACAAUAUUAAGCAUUACAGAAGCUUGCUGCUUUUCCUCUAAUAAGGUAAAAUAAAGAAAAAGGGCCUUUGUUUUACAAGGCUUUCAAAGGGCUGAGAAAUCUUAAGAUUUUGGAAACUGAUUAGAGGUUUUAAACAUUGGGAAAAAAUAUCUAAGCAGCCUAUACAAUCAUUUAAACUUUGCUUACUGUUAUUUGUGAUUCAGUGAAAAUAUUAAUGCACCUAUAUUUAAAACGUCAUCUCUGGGGAUCUGUUUAAAUUUAAACAUUAUGUAAAUUUGACAAGAACUUGAGGACAUGAACUUUAAGGGUUCUCAGACCACAUUGAAGUCUGCCUAGGUAAUUUGUCUAGGUGGUUUUGGUGAGGAGAUACUCACUAGGGGAUGAUGUAGGGAAAAAAAUUCGAAGGACAAUCAUCCAAAUAAUUUUGUUUAUUUUUCUUUUGCUGGUUUUAACCUUUGAUCAAAGAUUGGACUUGAUGAUUUUGGAGGUCUUUUCCAACAUUAAUGAUUUCUUGAAAUUAAAAAAAUUAGAAAUUCUUUGCACGUAUAUCCUACAUCUAGCAAUGAUCUGUUACAUGAUUGUAAAAUAUCACCUUGAUUUUUUCAAGGGCUGAUGGCUUAAAAGAAAAAUAUACAUCCAAAUGGGUUGGCAGUGCUGCUUAGAAAAAAUUUAAAUGAAAACAACAAAAAAAAACUAAACUAAAAGAAGUCCCUGAAAAAUUAUUGAUGACUGCUAUGUAAGAGGAGGAGCUUUCUAGUUAUGAAUGCAAUACUCCUAUAGCAUUAAUAUAAUAGUAUGAUGGUUGCAUUUUUCUGAUCUGGGUGUACUGAGGAAUUCUGUAAGGAAUUCUGCUUUUCCGAACUCAUAUAGCCUUUGGAGGUUCCGAUAGUCAGCACUUCUGUGCAUAUCCACAGCACGUGAAAAAUGGCCUGAAGGCCAAAGUAAACCACUAAAUUGCAUUUUUUGCCCUUAUUUCAGGUAGGACAGACUAGUGGGGACUAUUAUCCAACCCUGUUUUUUAAUUUGUUGGUCAGCCAUUGUGGUGAAUGAUGGGCAGUGAUCACUUCAGUCCAAUUUGCAAGAAAUAAAGAUGAGAUUUCUUCCUCCAUAAGGCUGGGAAUAUCACAAAACCACAUCACAGUGAGGAUGGAUGGGAGAUAUGUUUCAUCUCCAUGAAGAAGACAGAAAAUCAUAACAGUUUUCUUUAGUACAACAGAUAGGAGGAAUCAAACUGGUAACAGCACAAAGGUUCAAAAGAUAAUACUUCUCCAAGGGUAUAGAUAAAGAUAUCUGCCAUAUAUAUUGUGGAUGCUAAAACAAUUUGAUGAAUUUAAUAAAGACAGUCCCUUGGAAGCUGUUGAAUACAGGGGUGCUGGCUCUGGGCAAGAAUAUCCUGAGCUGGAAUUUGCUUUUUUCAGUUCUUCAAAAAAGUGACUGUAUGUCUGAUUUGUCCUUAAACUCCUUUGGGCAGCUGGGAGUGGCCACUGUUAGAAACACUGUGCUGGCCUGGAUGGCCCUUGAUUUGACUUGCUAAAAUCAUCCUCAUGUUGCAGAGGUAUUAUAUAUGUGUGUAUAUAUAUUUAUGUUUCCAGUAUCCAAAUCACAACAUGCAUUGCCAAUGAUACUUGUCUUGCUGAACUGGAAUGUGUACUUACUGAAACACAUGGGAGCUGGCAUGUUUCUUUUAGAUGGGAGAAAAAAAAAAGGGUGUUGCUGGGAGGUUGUUUUGCCUUGUUUUUUGCUUCUAAGUGUAGGCAAUGUCACAGACAUCUUUUGAUGAAAAUGAAAAAUGAACUGUAGUAAUGUGCUUAUGUAAAACAAAAUUGGGCAUAUUCUGCACAGCAAACAUCUUGUGUUGGAAUAAAUGUCUCUCUGGUGAUGUCAAUGUGAGAACAAGCACUCCAGUGUUGUUGAAGUAAUUGGGAGUCGCUGAGCAAAUGUGCUGGGGAAUCCUGCAUAAAGCCUAUAUAUGGUAAUUUAUCUAGAAUGUUCUCUAUUUCUGUUUUGUAAAAGCUUUACGUGGGACAGUGACUAUGUUUGCUGUCUUUCAAACUGAUACAAGACACACACCAGUCUUCAGGCCUUUCCUUGAGCACCCUGCCCAAGGGCUGGGCAGCACCAGCAGCAGGGAAGGGGCCUCCUUGCCAUGGGGUGGACAGCACCACACUGGUCAGGAGGCAAAAAAACAUCUCCUGUUGGAGCUAGAAUGCAGUGGGCUGUGGCCACCGGGUGUAUAAAAUGCUGACAUGAGAGAUUUCUUUGUCAAAUCUAACAGGACAAAUAACUCUCCCUUACUUUAAGUAUAAAGUGAAAUGAAAUUCUGUAAAAUAAGUUUUUUUCCUUCAAGUUUAAUCUAUCAUUUGAAAAAAAAAUCAAGCUAACUUCAACACAUUUUUGUAGAGAAGUUGCUUCUAGCAGCUUAUGAUUAUACAAUUAACACAAAAUUGUCAUUGCAGUCACUGAAGUUUGUAUACAGUACAAUAAGCCUUAAACUGCAAUCUCAGUUGAAGUAUAUUUUUCUGUGUUGGAGUUGCCUCUGCUAACAUUUCCACAGGUCCUCCCUAGCACCCACCAUCUUGUCCUCCAGCCUUUUGGAUCCUCUAGAGUAGCUCCACCCUCUCUUCCAUCCCAUCUUAUUUUGGGCACAUGAGAAGUCUGAGCUCAGACUUAAUCCGUUUCUUCACAUUAUUUUUUAAAGAAUAAUUAAUAGCAGCAUGAAUGAUGAAGCAAAACAAGUAAUAAUGUGCCAGUAUGCAAUCAUAUUGCAAAUGGUUUGAACCAUUAAAGCAUUCCAGGUCCCCUGUGGCCAAUUGCUAAGACCUGGAUGGAGGAGGAAAAAACAAUUGCAUUCUGCCAGGAGAAGCUGUUAAAUUCCUGUGAGUGAAUGUGGUCCUGACUUAAUUACCACUUCCAAGAGACUAUUUAUAGUUGUCUGGGAAAGCACUUAAGUGAAAUAGGCUUAAGUUUGCAAAUAGAAUAAGUGUGUGAGUAUUCAGAGUUAAGACAGAGUUGAGAGAGAGGCUCUGUGGGGUAAUUACCCCCUACUCUGCUACCCCUACCCUCUCACUCUGUGGUGGCAUGCUGGAGCAAGAAUUUACAUUGACUAAACUAGCUUGACAACUCACCAGAUCUCUACAGAGAAUUUUAAACAUCUGAAAUUUAAAAUAUUGUGCAGUUUAUACACAGCACUUCAUGAUGGCCUUCAGACUUGAACAUUGGCUGGGACAGAUUGUACCACAGGCACAUGAAAAACUUCUGAGAAAAGAAAACAAUUUUCUCAG